rnacentral:rRNA from 1 species
AGAACGAACGCUGGCGGCAUGCCUAAUACAUGCAAGUCGAACGAACUCUUCGGAGUUAGUGGCGCACGGGUGCGUAACGCGUGGGAAUCUGCCCCUUGGUUCGGAAUAACAGUUGGAAACGACUGCUAAUACCGGAUGAUGACGAAAGUCCAAAGAUUUAUCGCCAAGGGAUGAGCCCGCGUAGGAUUAGCUAGUUGGUGAGGUAAAGGCUCACCAAGGCAACGAUCCUUAGACUGUCGUUGAGAGGACUACGAUCCAGCCUACGACUGGGACUGACGACCACGGACCCACGACGUCCGACGGAGGCAGCGAAGUUAGGAUAUGGGAAC